UACGUAGGGUGCAAGCGUUAAUCGGAAUUACUGGGCGUAAAGCGUGCGCAGGCGGCUUUGCAAGACAGAUGUGAAAUCCCCGGGCUUAACCUGGGAACUGCAUUUGUGACUGCAUGGCUAGAGUGCGGCAGAGGGGGAUGGAAUUCCGGGUGUAGCGGUGAAAUGCGUAGAUAUCCGGAGGAACACCGGUGGCGAAGGCGGCUUCCUGGCUCACAACUGACGAUCAGGCACGAAAGCGUGGGGAGCAAACAGG
rnacentral:rRNA from 1 species